GAACGGGUGAGUAACACGUGGGUGAUCUGCCCUGCACUUUGGGAUAAGCCUGGGAAACUGGGUCUAAUACCGAAUAGGACCACGCGCUUCAUGGUGUGUGGUGGAAAGCUUUUGCGGUGUGGGAUGGGCCCGCGGCCUAUCAGCUUGUUGGUGGGGUAAUGGCCUACCAAGGCGACGACGGGUAGCCGGCCUGAGAGGGUGACCGGCCACACUGGGACUGAGAUACGGCCCAGACUCCUACGGGAGGCAGCAGUGGGGAAUAUUGCACAAUGGGCGCAAGCCUGAUGCAGCGACGCCGCGUGAGGGAUGACGGCCUUCGGGUUGUAAACCUCUUUCAAUAGGGACGAAGCGCAAGUGACGGUACCUAUAGAAGAAGCACCGGCCAACUACGUGCCAGCAGCCGCGGUAAUACGUAGGGUGCGAGCGUUGUCCGGAAUUACUGGGCGUAAAGAGCUCGUAGGUGGUUUGUCGCGUUGCUCGUGAAAACUCACAGCUUAACUGUGGGCGUGCGGGCGAUACGGGCAGACUAGAGUACUGCAGGGGAGACUGGAAUUCCUGGUGUAGCGGUGGAAUGCGCAGAUAUCAGGAGGAACACCGGUGGCGAAGGCGGGUCUCUGGGCAGUAACUGACGCUGAGGAGCGAAAGCGUGGGGAGCGAACAGGAUUAGAUACCCUGGUAGUCCACGCCGUAAACGGUGGGUACUAGGUGUGGGUUCCUUCCUUG
rnacentral:rRNA from 1 species